rnacentral:rRNA from 1 species
UACAGAGGUCCCAAGCGUUGUUCGGAUUCACUGGGCGUAAAGGGUGCGUAGGCGGUCGGGUAAGUCUGAUGUGAAAUCUCACAGCUUAACUGUGAAACUGCAUUGGAUACUAUCCGGCUCGAGGAAUGGAGGGGAGACUGGAAUACUUGGUGUAGCAGUGAAAUGCGUAGAUAUCAAGUGGAACACCAGUGGCGAAGGCGGCUCUCUAGUACGGUACUGACGCUGAGACGCGAAAGCGUGGGGAGCGAACAGG